CAAGCCCAAGAGCAAGCCCAUUCCAGUUCAAGAACAAAUCUCAUUUGGGCUGAGAUUUGUUGGGCCAAGGUCGAGCCCGGUCCAAGCCCGUCGGGGUCGUCGAAAGCCCAAUUUCGACCGCCGUCGCAUCGCUGUUGUGGUGAUUUGGUUCUCGCUUUUAAUCAAGUGAUUUUUACUCACUAAUGCUUUAUUAGUUUGCUAAUUAUGCUUAGGGAUUGGUUAGAUUUAAUUAAAUGCAAUUAGGUGGUUAGAUUAGUUAGAUUAAUUAAAUUAGAGACUUAAUGAUGCAUGUUAGAUGGUUAGAAAUAGACAUUAGCAAGUAGGCAUGCCAUGUUAUUUAUGGAACAAGUCUCGGUAAUUUUCCGGGUUCGUAUCGGCUUCCAAUUAGGCUAUAACGGGCAUAAGUUGGAUUUAUUGCAUUUAUUUAAUAUUUUUCGUAAUUAUUUAAUUACUUAUUUAUUUUUUGGAAAUUAUGCUAGGAUAGCCGACGACCGAAAUUUUGUGCUUAUUCCAAUAGUGCUUUCUGUUUAUUUAUUCGAGCAUCAGAUUAUGAAAUUUUAGUGAAAUUGGUGAAUAUGAGAAUUUAUCCCAAAAUUAGGAAAAUGUCGGUACUUGAAGGGAAAGUAACUGUGUGUGGUUGUGAGUUGGAUUAAAGAUUGCCAGGUGGGGCUGUGAUGCCACCAAGUUGAGAAGAGUGCCAGGCGGGGCCGUGAUGCCACCAAGUUGAGAAAAUUGCCAAGUGGGGCCGUGAUGCCACCAAGUCUAGAACAUUUGCCAGGUGAGGCCGCGAUGCCACCAAGUCUAGAAAAUUUGCCGAGUGGGGCCGUGAUUCCACUAAAAAUAAAUUAUGCCUAUAGGGUCGUGAUUCAGAGUCAAGAAUGAAGAGUCGGGAUGACCAUGUAAUGGUGUUGAUGACAUGUAAUUGACUGAGUCGAUUGAUCGUUAAGUCGAUAUGAUUAGUUGGAUGCUAUAAUUGUCAGUAUUUAUUAUUUGAAUUGACUUGCAGGAAGGAAACUGAGGCCAAGGUAAGCCCUCUGACCCAUGAUGUGCUUAGGCAGCCCUCAUGACGUAUUUUCUUACUAAUCGGGUCUUAGGGGGUAGAAUUCACUGAGACAUGGUCUCAUUGGUUAUUGAAUAACCAUUUCAGGACCCUGAGGAGGAGCCAAGGAGGAGAAAGAUUUUUGAGGAAGAAGAAGAUGAUCCAGAGAGGGAUCUUGAGUACAACCCGGAUGUGGAUUGAGAUCACAUCCUUUUUGUGAACCAUGUCUUAGUGUAGAUAGGUGUGAGACUUGGUUGCUGUAAAUAGUAUUGUAAAUAUACUAUGAGUUGCACUGUUAAUAAAGGUGUGGUUGUGAAUUUCAAUACGAAAAA
rnacentral:lncRNA from 1 species